rnacentral:rRNA from 1 species
CACGGAGUUAGCCGGGACUUCUUAUCUAGGUACCGUCAUUAAUUCUUCCCUAGCGAAAGAGCUUUACAACCAAGGCCGUCAUCACUCACGCGGCAUGGCUGGGUCAGGCUUGCGCCCAUUGCCCAAUAUUCCC